GCUGAACAAGUUUAAAAUGGAAUUGUUGCUCUGGUGGAUCGUGUGUGUGAGAAAGCUACAAGAUCCAGAAAAGGAACGAUUGACAUUAAGCCUUCAGGUAUAAAAUCUCUCUUGGUGUUGGAGGUUCUGCCGAGAGCCUUCUCUAUAUGGAUGAUUACCUCUGACCCAGGAAAAUAGACCAAGGUCUCAACGGAGUCAGGUCAGCAGAGAGAAGCACUGCUCUGUCCUUCGGAUGGAGGGAAAUCCAGGCAGUAUGAAAAUGCAAUUUUCUAACAUAUGAUUGGUUUUAUGAAAGCUCUUUUGACUAAAGAGACUGCAUGAAUAAAACACUUCUUUGGGAGGCAAUGGCUACAUCUGAGGAAGCACAAGAAUAAAAAGGCACAUUGAGCAAAGUGAAAAACAUUCUGAAGAAAAGUUCCAUGAUUUUAAUCACUCUGAUGGUGAUCUCCUUCAUGCAUCUCAAAAGUUGUGUAAAAUAUUUAUAAUGCUUAGAAUACUCUAAAUGCUAGCCCCUCAAAAGCCAUGCAAAUAUUUUGAAGGAGGAAUUUUUUUUAUUGUGUGGUAUCUUGGGCCCAUUGUGCAGCAACAUAGAACUUGAGGCAAAUUAGGGAAUGCUGUUGAAGUGUUAUCAAACUUGGCUUUUAAAGAGGAGAGAUCCCAAGCAAUUGAAGUUCUGCAGUUUUGAUCAAUGAGCAAUAAAUUUUGAUUUCAAUGCAAUGAAAAUGUUGGGAUAAAGUAGAGCAUUCCCAAAGUUUUCAGCUAAUCCAUUAAAGGCCUAUCCUUAAUCAUAAGAUCUGAAUUGGGGCUGUCUGAUGAUGAUUCUACAGUGUCCUGCGCCAUUCCCAAUUCCUCUAGUUGUGAAACAUCCCGUGUCAGCUGUCAGCAAGACCUGGCCAACAUUCAUGCUUGGGGUGAAAAGCAGCAGGUAUCAUUUGAGCCACAGAAGUGACAGGCAAUGAACAUAACCCACAAGAAUAGCCCCAACCACCUCCCUCUGACCUUCAACAACAACACCUAUGCUGUGUAACUGCCAUCAACAUCCUUGAGGAAGGGGGUUUGGUGGGGGGAUAAUGGGGUCACUAUUGACUAUAAGAUUAACCAGCUAUGUCAGCAACAAAUCUACAUGAUCAGGGAAGAGGAAUGAGUGACUCACCUCCUGACCCCUCAAGGUCUUUCCAUCAUCUACAAGGAUCAGGUUAGGAUUGCAAAUGGAACAAGAGAAGAGAGAACUCAAUAGAGUGCAUACAUCUGCCACACUGUGUUAACUCAAUGUUAUUACAAUUAUGCAUUUCUUCCUUGAUCUUUUACCUGCCUGGGUGAUGCUCUAUAACCAAAUAAAAAGAAAUAUUUUUAUUAAGGGCGUCCAGCUCAGUGAGGAGACUUCAGACAAAUCCAUAUGCAACAACCUGCUCUGAAAGCUCUGCUCACAUACUGACAGCUAUGAAAAUUCCACCACAGCAGCUGGGACAAUUCAAAACAUUCUAAAACAAUCAACAACAUUCUAAAUAAAACAACCCACAACAUUCUUUAAAAAAAAUCCAUCAAUGCACCCUAUCUCCCAAUGUUAACGGAUUCUUUAUAAUAUUCCGGAUCCCGAUUCAUACCUUCGCCAAUAGCUCAUCAGUUCUACCUUGUGCCAUACCAUAUCGAUUUACCAAGUUUCAGUAGAAAUUCGUUCAUUAGUUUCCGAGAUAUAUUGUUAACAAACAGACAAACAAACUAACAAACUGUGGCGAAAAUAUUACCUCUGCCCACCUUCAGCGGCAGAGGUAAUAAUCACCAAAUAUUUGAUUGGAUGCAACUGAAACAACACAAAAGAAGCUUAACCCCAUCUAGGACAAAGUGGUGUCCCUAACUGGCUCUCCUGCCACUGGACUCAAUAUUCAAUUUCUUCAUCAAUGGUGUACUGUGGCUGCAGUGUGCAUUAACUUGAGUAUUACAAUGAAUUUUUAGCACAGAAACAGGCCAUUCAGCUCAACAGGCCCAUACAGUGCUUAUGCUCCACAUGAACCUUUAUGGCAACCAGAGACCUUGUCCUUUCAUUGUGGCCUAAAAUGUGCUUGAAUAUUUCUUGUAAAUACUAAAAUAUUUUUAAGAUGCUAUCUGCCCGGUAUCAGUGUUGAACACCCUUCUGUUCCAAUUUGAGCCAUCUCUAAACAAGAUGUAUAUUCUGUAAGUAGGCCCUUUCCCCCUUUAACCUACUGUACGUAGUGAGAAGUAUGGAGUAUGCAUCAGGUCAGAAAAUCCAUCAUGUGCAGUUGGGUUGCACUAGAAGUAUCUCCACAUAUCUCUCUGUGGUAGAUGGAGGAACACCACACUGAUUGAUUUUGGGUGGAAUUUUAUGCCCGUGGGAUUUUACAGUCCUGUCGAAGUCAAUUGGACUUUUGAAUAGCUCGCCACAUUUUAUGGCUCCAUCUCCACUGUGACAGCACCAUAAAUUUCCGCCCUAUGUAUUUCAGAAUAGGUUAUAUAUUGUUUGUUAUCAAAAAGAAAUUUACACAGAAGCCAAAUAAACUAGCAGAUACUGUAAGAAAA